CCGCACUCACAACUCGAUGGCCUCCACUUUCCAAGCCAUUCUCCUUGAUAGAAUUGGGAGAGCUCAUUGCUCACUGAAGCUCCCAGUGAGUAAGCCUUUCAUAAAAUCUUAGUCACUAUGUAUCUUUGAUGCUCAUCUUUUUCUUGUUUCGUUUAAUUUCCAUGUAAUUUGCUUUUCUGCAUAUGAAAAGAGAAUUAAACCUUGUAGUUUUUCUCCAUUUUCAAUAAAAUUUGUUAGUUUAUUUAUAGACUCAUUUAGUUAUGCUCAUUAAUAUACCCCUUAUCUUCUACUAUGCAAUAGUAUUUUUAUGAGCUUUCAACAUUCUAACCCACAGAACGAAUCUUAGGAGGGUAGGUUGGACAAGUAAUUAAGAAGUCCUUCACAUUACCUUCAUUUAUGCAUAGAGAGAUGAAAUUAUAUGCACGUGUAAGAAUAUGUAAGAAGUUGCCUUUAUUUGCGCUGCACGUACUUAUUAGUUAAUUUUGAACUUUAUUUCACCUAAAUAAUGGGGUGGGUUAAUCCUAAGGAAAGUUCUGAAAAGGCCAAAGUCUUUCAACAAUUCUUGAUUCCCAACUGUUUUAUCCAAUUUCUGCCUAGUCCCCCAAAACGCAUUUGCAGCUUUUACAGAAGCGACAGUGUUUUUUUCCUCAAAAUCUUAUAUGAUCCACCUUCAAUUUUUUGAAGGAAAUUCAUGGUCUAUUACAACUCUCUAGACUCGUUAAUUAGUUUUCUUUGGCACCAAAACUAAUGAUCCGGAUCGCAUUGCUGAUUGUCGUAUCCUUCCGAGAUGACAAGAAAAUUUCCAGACAUUCAAAUAAAAGAUACAUAAAGGGUGCCACUUGUCUAACAUAAAAGCUGCCAUUUUGUCUACUUCUAAGAAGACCUUCGGGGCUUCUUUUAAUAUAGCGGUAUAGAUAUCCAAAUCUUGUCUAUAAUACUAACCAGAAAUCAAUGUUUUUUUGGCUAAAUCAGCGUCCACCGGCUAAUUGGUAUCGAAGCUUUCAUGGGCACCUUUUACUCCCAAAUUUUAAUUGACUCAGAUUCAAGAGUCGGACACAUAUGAUGAAGUACAAAAAACACUAAAUAAAUCAACAGUUCGUGGAAUAUUAAUAAAGGAAAAACAAAAAGCUCAUCCAAAUAACAUCUUAAUAUAUCCCAAUUAUAACUCUACCGUGAAAAUGUAGAACAGGGUCUAUAUCAAACCUUUAGCAUGCCCUCUCAGUCAGAGAAAUGGCUUUUGCUUCGCAAAAAUCAACCAGGUUCUCCAUAAAGCAAUGAUACAUGACGUAUCUAAAGGAAAGAUAUUCAUAUGCCUGUCCAUUGCCGCCUGAUCUUUAAGUCAUCCAGUGGCGUGAUUUGAAUUGGUUUCUGAUACAUGUCGAGGCAUGUAUAAUUUUAAUUUCCAUACUUCAGGUAAGGCAAGUGAGGUAUGGUUAGCAUCAUUGGUG
rnacentral:lncRNA from 1 species